UGGUGGAGUGAUUUGUCUGGUUAAUUCCGUUAACGAACGAGACCUCGACCUGCUAAAUAGUUCGGCGUACCUUCGGGUACGUACGCGACUUCUUAGAGGGACUGUCGGUUUUAGCCGAAGGAAGUUCGAGGCAAUAACA
rnacentral:rRNA from 1 species